rnacentral:rRNA from 1 species
UACAGAGGUCUCAAGCGUUGUUCGGAUUCAUUGGGCGUAAAGGGUGCGUAGGCGGCGCGGUAAGUCGGAUGUGAAAUCUCGGGGCUCAACCCCGAAACUGCAUUCAAUACUGCCCUGCUCGAGUACUGGAGAGGAGACUGGAAUUUACGGUGUAGCAGUGAAAUGCGUAGAUAUCGUAAGGAAGACCAGUGGCGAAGGCGAGUCUCUGGACAGUUACUGACGCUGAGGCACGAAGGCCAGGGGAGCAAACGGG